rfam:Dipodomys ordii contig_12504, whole genome shotgun sequence.
GGGAAGGUGGCUCGGUGGUAGAGCGCUUGCCUUGCAUGCAUGAGGCCCUGGGUUUGAUUCCUCAGCAGCACCA